GUAGGCAACUGCAGCACAAUAGUAAGUGUUUGUGUACCUAACAUAGACAAAGUACAGCAAAAAUACAGUAUAAAAGAUACACAAAUGGGGCCAGGUGCAGUGGCUCA